rnacentral:ncRNA from 1 species
UUUUUUGAGAGUUUGAUCCUGGCUCAGGAUGAACGCUGGCGGCGUGGAUAAGGCAUGCAAGUCAUGCGGUUUUGUCUACGACAAGACCUACGGAUUUCCGCUGAUUUAUAGCUGAUUUCCGCCGAUUCUUUAUCGGUGGUUACCGGCUAUUAUCAUUGGUCAUCGGUGGUCUCGCCGUAGGCGAGACAGCGGCAAACGGGUUAGUAACAUGUAGAUACAAACCCUUAAGACGGAAAUAACCAUGCGAAAGCAUAGCUAAUACCCGAUAGCCUGGAAGUCGAUUUAUAAUCAUAAAGAAAUAAAGAAUUCUUAAUUUUAUAAUUUUCAAUUUUUAAAUAAUUUUUUAAUGAUUUAAUUUUUAAUCCCGUUUCAUCGGAUUUAAAAAUUAGAAAAUUUAAUCAUUAUUUAAAAAUUAGAAAUUAGAAAUUAGAAAUUUAGAAUGGCUCUUUGUGGAUAUAAAUCGGCUUCCAGUAAAGGUUCGCAAGAGCCGCUUGAGGAUUGGUCUGCAUCCUAUCAGCUAGUUGGCAGGGUAACGGCCUACCAAGGCAAUGACGGGUAGGGGGCGUGAGAGCGCGUUCCCCAACAAUGGCACUGCGAUCAACAUAGGGUCGCCUAGAGAAGUAAUUUUCUAGUAAAAUUCAGCUCAUAACGGUGAAACCCAAAUUAUUUUGUGAUAUAAUGGAAUAAUGGGCAAUACCGUGGGAAGUCAAAUUGAUAAAGUGUUUACUAAAUUGAGGGAUAAAGGUUAUAUAUUUUGACCCCGUAACGACUUAGCUCCGAUGUUCAUCGGAGCGAGAUAAAGGGUAAAAUCCUUUAUAAUAUGCUGGCCCCGUUUAAUUUUUAAAAAAUUAAAGCGGGUGAAGGUAUAGUCUAUACUAUAAGUAAUUAUAGAAAUAUGUGACGGGCCAUACUCCUACGGGAGGCAGCAGUCGAGAAUAUUCGACAAUGGGCGAAAGCCUGAUCGAGCGACGCCGCGUGCUUGAAGAAGCCCUUCGGGGUGUAAAGAGCUUUUCUGAGGGAAGAAUUCGACGCACCUCACUGUGUUCGGCGCGGAAUUUAAAAAAUAGUUAUUG